rnacentral:rRNA from 1 species
GAUGAACGCUGGCGGCGUGCCUAAUACAUGCAAGUCGAGCGAACAGACGAGGAGCUUGCUCCUCUGACGUUAGCGGCGGACGGGUGAGUAACACGUGGAUAACCUACCUAUAAGACUGGGAUAACUUCGGGAAACCGGAGCUAAUACCGGAUAAUAUAUUGAACCGCAUGGUUCAAUAGUGAAAGACGGUUUUGCUGUCACUUAUAGAUGGAUCCGCGCCGCAUUAGCUAGUUGGUAAGGUAACGGCUUACCAAGGCAACGAUGCGUAGCCGACCUGAGAGGAUGAUCGGCCACACUGGAACUGAGACACGGUCCAGACUCCUACGGGAGGCAGCAGUAGGGAAUCUUCCGCAAAGGGCGAAAGCCUGACGGAGCAACGCCGCGUGAGUGAUGAAGGUCUUCGGAUCGUAAAACUCUGUUAUUAGGGAAGAACAAAUGUGUAAGUAACUAUGCACGUCUUGACGGUACCUAAUCAGAAAGCCACGGCUAACUACGUG